AAUUUCUGGAGUUUUGCUAUGAGCUGUACUAACGUUAUACAAAAUUUAAUUACACUGGAAUUUAACAAUAUGUCAAUAUACUAUUGUAAAAAUUAGUUCACAUACCAUAAUUUUUAUUUUUAUAUAAUUUGUAUUUUAUAUUUUAUAUUAUAUUUUAUAAAUGUUCAUAUUAAAUGUUGUCAGCAUAUUAAUUAUUUUCUUUCAAUCAUAUCAUAUGCGCAUGUACUGCUUGUACCUGUGAUUUCUUGUAAACAGUUAAGUUAUUAAUUUUUUCAUGUAAGCAAAACAUAAGCAACACAGGAACUGUGAGAGAAUAUGAGUUUAACCCCUUAAAGGGGCCGUUUAAAGUUUUGGUAAAUUGACAAAAUUAAAAAAAGUUGUUACAGAUUCGCAAAUUUUCAUUUUUGUUAUGAUAUUUUUGAGGAAAUAGCAAAACUGGACCAUUUACCAUGCUCUUAAAUAUCCAUUAUAUGCAUCUUUUGACGAUUUGAAAACCUGAAAAUUAUAAAGCGUUGUGCGACGCGAAACGAUUGAAUAAUUUGGAAAGUUCUGUUGUUGUAGUUAUAUUUUGGGAAAGUACGAGGAUUGCUUAUAUAGGUAAAAAAUACAUCCGCUCUAAGCAUGAGCAUGGAUGGUCGAGUGGUCUAGGCGGGAGACUUUUUACUCCAGGACUCUAGAGGUCAGUGGUUCGAACCCUGUUGAGGGUCACUUUUAGGUCAAAUGUUUAAAUUUAUCAAUAUAAAGCAUUUAAUGACAUGCUUCAAUACAUGCCAAACUCUGUUAAACGGCCCCUUUAAAGGAAUCAUGAAUCAAAAGUCCAGACACCAAAUAAAAAUUAAUUCUUCCCAGCAAACCAACUUAUAUGUGUUUUAAUAGGGCCAUAUUAUUUUGAAUGUUCAAAUAAUCACAUUUAGGUCUCUUAUAGGGGGCAUACUAAACAUGUUUCAUUGUAAUCUAUCAAACAGUUACGAAAAUGUAUUUUUAGCCCACAUGAACGAAACAUGCUCAUGGUGAGCUUUUGUGAUCAUCUAUUGUCCCAUGUUGUUAGUGUCCUAAUCAUAUGAUCUUAGCUAAGGUCAAAUGGGUCAUGUGCGGUCAAAAACUAGUUCAGGAGUUAAAAUUGAAGAACAAGCUUUGAUAACGCCAAAAGUCAUAUUUUGCCCAAUCAUCACGAAACUUGCUCUGAAGAUUUGUUUUAAUAAUCUCAGCUGUGUGCUUAUGACAUCUCUGCCAGUUUCAAAAAUGAUCAAUUGAACAACAUGACUGGCAGGGGGCUUGGCAGAAUGUCUUGGGCCUAUGGAAACCUUGUAAACACUCUAGUAGAAGUCACAUUCUUUGCCAAAUCACCAUUUUACUUGCCCAUAAUGAAACUUCCUCAGAACUUUGCUUUUGAUGAUAUCUCAAGUUCGAAAUACAUGGUUUACUGGGAAAGUGACAGCUUUGGCAGCACAGUGAAACGUUAUGAACCUUAUGAGCACUUGUUUGCCAAUUUUCAUCAUGAACUUAGGUACAUUGUAAGAAGCAUUUUUCUGCCAUUAAGAAUUCAUUUAGUUAUGCCCCCCUUCGAAGAAGAGGGGGUAUAUUGCUUUGCACAUGAUGGUCGGUCGGUCGGUCGGUCUGUUGGUUGGUCCGCCCACCAGGUGGUUUCCGGAUGAUAACUCAAGAACGCCUAGGGCUAGGAUCAUGAAACUUCAUAGGUACAUUGAUCAUGACUCGUAGAUGACCCCUAUUGAUUUUGAGGUCACUAGGUCAAAGGUCAAGGUCACGGUGACCCGAAAUAGUAAAAUGGUUUCCGGAUGAUAACUCAAGAACGCUUAUGCCUAGGAUCAUGAAACUUGAUAGGUAGAUUGAUCAUGACUCGCAGAUGACCCCUAUUGAUUUUCAGGUCACUAGGUCAAAGGUCAAGGUCACAGUGACCCGAAAUAGUAAAAUGGUUUCCGGAUGAUAACUCAAGAACACUUAUGCCUAGGAUCAUGAAACUUGAUAGGUAGAUUGACCAUGACUCGCAGAUGACCCCUAUUGAUUUUCAGGUCACUAGGUCAAAGGUCAAGGUCACGGUGACCCGAAAGGGUUUCCGGAUGAUAACUGAAGAACGUUUAUGCCUAGGAUCAUGAAACUUGAUAGGUAGAUUGAUCAUGACUUGCAGAUAAGCCCUAUUGAUUUUCAGGUCACUAGGUCAAAGGUCAAGGUCACGGUGACCCGAAAUAGUAAAAUGGUUUCCGGAUGAUAACUCGAGAACGCUUAUGCCUAGGAUCAUGAAACUUGAUAGGUAGAUUGAUCAUGACUCACAGAUGACAUCUAUUGAUUUUCAGGUCACUAGGUCAAAGGCCAAGGUCAUGGUGACCCGAAAUAGUAAAAUGGUUUCCGGAUGAUAACUCAAGAACGCUUAUGCCUGGGAUCAUGAAACUUCAUAGGUACAUUGAUCAUGACUCGCAGAUGACCCCUAUUGAUUUUCAAGUCACUAGGUCAAAGGUCAAGGUCAUGGUGACCGGAAAUAGUAAAAUGGUUUCCGGAUGAUAACUCAAGAACGCUUAUGCCAAGGAUCAUGAAACUUCAUAAAUACAUUGAUCAUGACUGGCAGAUGACCCCUAUUGAUUUUCAGGUCACUGAGUCAAAGGUCAAGGUCACAGUGACAAAAAACAUAUUCACACAAUGGCUGUCACUACAACUGAGAGCCCAUAUGGGGGGCAUGCAUGUUUUACAAACAGCCCUUGUUUAUACAAGCUUGAUACACAAUUAAGGGACAGUGACUAAUAUGAUAAAAAGAAUAUGAGGUUAACUUUGGAUAAAUAUUAAAGCGAGA